UACAGAGGGUGCAAGCGUUGUUCGGAAUUACUGGGCGUAAAGCGCGUGUAGGCGGCCUUGCAAGUUGGAUGUGAAAGCCCACGGCUCAACCGUGGAAGCGCAUCCAAAACUGCAUCGCUCGAGUCUCGGAGAGGAAGGUGGAAUGCUUGGUGUAGAGGUGAAAUUCGUAGAUAUCAAGCAGAACACCUGCGGCGAAGGCGGCCUUCUGGACGAUGACUGACGCUGAGACGCGAAAGCGUGGGGAGCAAACAGG
rnacentral:rRNA from 1 species